rnacentral:rRNA from 1 species
UACGUAGGGUGCAAGCGUUGUCCGGAAUUAUUGGGCGUAAAGAGCUCGUAGGCGGUUUGUCGCGUCUGCUGUGAAAUCCGGAGGCUCAACCUCCGGCCUGCAGUGGGUACGGGCAGACUAGAGUGCGGUAGGGGAGAUUGGAAUUCCUGGUGUAGCGGUGAAAUGCGCAGAUAUCAGGAGGAACACCGAUGGCGAAGGCAGGUCUCUGGGCCACUACUGACGCUGAGAAGCGAAAGCAUGGGGAGCGAACAGG